UAACACAUGCAAGUCGAGGGGCAGCAUGGUCUUAGCUUGCUAAGGCCGAUGGCGACCGGCGCACGGGUGAGUAACGCGUAUCCAACCUGCCUUACACUCUUGGACAGCCUUCUGAAAGGGAGAUUAAUACAAGAUGUUAUCAUGAGUAAGCAUUUUCGCAUGAUUAAAGGUUUACCGGUGUAAGAUGGGGAUGCGUUCCAUUAGAUAGUAGGCGGGGUAACGGCCCACCUAGUCUUCGAUGGAUAGGGGUUCUGAGAGGAAGGUCCCCCACAUUGGAACUGAGACACGGUCCAAACUCCUACGGGAGGCAGCAGUGAGGAAUAUUGGUCAAUGGACGAGAGUCUGAACCAGCCAAGUAGCGUGAAGGAUGAAGGUUCUAUGGAUUGUAAACUUCUUUUAUACGGGAAUAAACGAAUCCACGUGUGGAUUUUUGCAUGUACCGUAUGAAUAAGGAUCGGCUAACUCCGUGCCAGCAGCCGCGGUAAUACGGAGGAUCCGAGCGUUAUCCGGAUUUAUUGGGUUUAAAGGGAGCGUAGAUGGGUUGUUAAGUCAGUUGUGAAAGUUUGCGGCUCAACCGUAAAAUUGCAAUUGAUACUGGCAGUCUUGAGUACAGUUGAGGUAGGCGGAAUUCGUGGUGUAGCGGUGAAAUGCUUAGAUAUCACGAAGAACUCCGAUUGCGAAGGCAGCUUACUAACCUGUAACUGACAUUGAUGCUCGAAAGUGUGGGUAUCAAACAGGAUUAGGUACCCUGGUAGUCCACACGGUAAACGAUGAAUACUCGCUGUAGGCGAUAUACAGUCUGCGGCCAAGCGAAAGCAUUAAGUAUUCCACCUGGGGAGUACGCCGGCAACGGUGAAACUCAAAGGAAUUGACGGGGGCCCGCACAAGCGGAGGAACAUGUGGUUUAAUUCGAUGAUACGCGAGGAACCUUACCCGGGCUUAAAUUGCAACCGAAUAUGGCGGAAACGCUAUAGCUAGCAAUAGCGGUUGUGAAGGUGCUGCAUGGUUGUCGUCAGCUCGUGCCGUGAGGUGUCGGCUUAAGUGCCAUAACGAGCGCAACCCUUGCCGAUAGUUACUAACAGGUCAUGCUGAGGACUCUGUCGGGACUGCCAUCGUAAGAUGUGAGGAAGGUGGGGAUGACGUCAAAUCAGCACGGCCCUUACGUCCGGGGCUACACACGUGUUACAAUGGGGGGUACAGAGGGCUGCUACCACGCAAGUGGAUGCCAAUCCCAAAAACCUCUCUCAGUUCGGAUUGAAGUCUGCAACCCGACUUCAUGAAGCUGGAUUCGCUAGUAAUCGCGCAUCAGCCACGGCGCGGUGAAUACGUUCCCGGGCCUUGUACACACCGCCCGUCAAGCCAUGGGAGCCGGGGGUACCUGAAGUGCGUAAACGCAAGGAGCGCCCUAGGGUAAAACUGGUGACUGGGGCUAAG
rnacentral:rRNA from 1 species